rnacentral:sRNA from 1 species
GGGAGCUGCGAGGCGCAUGCGUGUCGUGGGGCCCGCCGCUCUGCCGCCGCCGCUGUUGCAGCUGCCGCCGUUGCCGCCUCCCUACCGGCAAGUGUGAGAAGAAGCUGAGCGUUGUCGCCAUCGCUAUGGGGAGAAAGUCAAGCAAAGCCAAGGAGAAGAAGCAGAAGCGGUUGGAGGAGCGAGCAGCCAUGGAUGCCGUUUGUGCCAAAGUGGACGCUGCCAACAGGGUGAUUCUCCCUUUCUUCCCAGUCCCUGCCUCCUGGGACUUCAGCUUGGUUUAUAAUUUGAGUUAUUUUGUCGCCACCCUGUGGCAGAAUUGUGACACUACCCACCCACACCGCCUCUGCCUCCUUGCUGUGCAGGGAACUGAGCUCAUACCUGUGUGUUGGGAGUUGGCGCCAGCAGUGGGCCCAGGUGUUUGGGAAAAUGUGGAUUCCAGUGAAGUGGCUGCCUCCCUGUGGAUCUUCUUCUUUAUGAAUAGAGGAGGGUCUAGAUAAUUUUUUUUUCUUUUGUGUGAGACAGGGUCUCACUCUGUCAUCCAGGCUGGAAUGCAGUGGCACGAUCUUGGCUCACUUCAACCUUGCAGCCUCUGCCGCCUGGGCCCAAGUGAUCCUCCCACCUCAGCCUCUGAAUUAGCUGGGACUAUAGGUGCCCGCCACCACACCCAGGUAAUUGUUGUAGAGACGGGGUUUGGCCUUGUUGCCCAGGAUGGUCUUGAACUCCUGAGCUCAAGCAUUUCACCUGCCUUGGCCUCCCAAAGUGCUGGGAUUACAGGCGUGAGCCAUAGUGCCUAGCCCCUGCCUCCAUUUAGUAUCCCAUUUUUUGGUCAUUCUUUUAACCCACUCGUAGUAAACACUCAUUUAUAAGUAUGUGGCUCAGGGACUUGAUUUUCCAUCUGGAGUUGUAACCAGGUGAAGUCAGUGGAGGCUUCUUUUAAGAAGUGUGCAGCAGAUCAGGUAGCCUCUUAUUUGGGUUAGCUGUGCUGUGUGAGCAAGUUGUAUGCCCACAGGCUAAUGAGGUCUCCUCUUGCCCUGUCAGGUGAUGCCAAACUUAACUCUCCUGGGCCUCCCCACCAAAGCCUUCCUCGCACCUGUGACUUCAGAGCUAGGCAAAUGGAGAGUUUUGGGAGGCUGCUCCUGGGUCUGAAGUUAGUCUCCUGUUGUGGGUCCCCACAGCAUCCCACUCCAAGGCAACAGCUCUUGGGAUAGGAUCUGCACCUCCGCCACACUUGUCUGUGCUAUUCCUCUUUUCUUUCCCUCCACAGCUUGGAGACCCUCUGGAGGCUUUCCCAGUGUUCAAGAAAUAUGAUAGAAACGGGUUGAAUGUCUCCAUUGAAUGUAAGCGAGUGUCUGGACUGGAGCCAGCCACCGUGGAUUGGGCCUUCGACCUGACCAAAACGAAUAUGCAAACCAUGUAAGCGUGUCCCGACCAGGGGAGCUUAGUUCCUCUCCCAGCUUUCCUGUCUGACUGCUCCCAAAUUCCCCAGGUAUGAGCAGAGCGAGUGGGGCUGGAAGGACCGAGAGAAACGGGAGGAAAUGACAGAUGACCGAGCCUGGUACCUCAUCGCGUGGGAAAACAGCUCCGUCCCUGUUGCCUUUUCUCACUUCCGGUUUGACGUGGAGUGUGGGGAUGAAGUCCUGUACUGCUAUGAAGUGCAGUUGGAAAGCAAGGUGCGGCGGAAAGGCUUGGGGAAGUUCCUCAUACAGAUCCUGCAGCUCAUGGCCAACAGCACACAGAUGAAGAAGGUUAUGUUAACAGUAUUUAAACACAAUCAUGGUGCCUACCAGUUCUUCAGAGAAGCGUUGCAAUUUGAAAUUGAUGACUCUUCCCCCAGCAUGUCCGGUUGCUGUGGGGAGGAUUGCUCCUAUGAGAUCCUGAGCCGGAGGACCAAGUUUGGGGACAGCCAUCACUCCCACGUGGGUGGGCACUGUGGUGGCUGCUGCCACUGAACUCUCAGAGCCACUUUCAAGUCACAGUGCUCUCUCCUAAGGCCUUUCCUCUUUGCUGGUCUCACUGUUCACCGGGUGUCCUCAGAGCUGUGGCCUCCCCAGCCCUGCACGUGCCAGGCUGCACCCUGAGAGCACAGAACCCUGGGGAGAAGUGGUAUGAGCUGCUCCUCCUCUCCUAGGAGACCAGAGUGCUAGGAGGGAAUGAAAGGGAGAGGGAAGAGUGGGUGGGGCCUGGCAGUGAAGCUCAUCCUCCACAGUGGCUGCCUCCUCACUUAGCUCCUGGGGCCUGCAGUGGAGGUUCUCGCACCUCUGCAGCUCCUAGAUUCCUGGCAACCUCCCCUCCCCUGACACAUACACACUUGGACAAAUGGAAUGUUUAUGCCCACCUUUAUGAAAGUUCUGGAGUCCUGGGUCUGGGGUUUGCUGAUCCCCAAAGAGGAACACACUGGGUGUAAGAUCUGGGCGUAGAGGGCGGCUUCAGAGAGACUCAUGCUUGUGCAGAUGGAAUGCUCUUACGGAGACUGUGGGAAGAUCUUUUGUGCCAAGAUGCAGGGAAGUGAAGAAAGCUCUUUCCAGCUGUUUUUAUGGAUUCAUGGAGUGGGCUCAUGUUGGGACCAGCUACUCUGGGAGGAAGACUGCCUCUCCAUCGCUGUCAGAGAGAGCCUGAAAGGACCAGGAAUGAGGUGUUCUGUGUGACCCGCCAUGGGGAUGAUUGCUUCUCUAGGCUCCUGGAUGUUGCUGCAUUCUAAGCUUAACCUCCUGGUCUCAUGGCAGUGACCUGAGCUUUUGAUUCAUAGAAGAAAGCCAGAGGUUCUGCUUGUUCUUGUCUGCCAGCCCUCACCGUUCUUACUCCUCUGCCUCUCACCUCUACCCCGAAUACCUCUGUUCUUAGUCUCAAGGGGAGAAUAACAUCAGGGAGCCCCUCGUCUUCCCCAGAAGGACUUCUUGUUCCUCAUAUAGUUAACUCCAUGGAUUUUCAUAUCUUGGUGCUGAUAGCUCUCCAAGGGUAGGGCAUCCCUCCCCGCAGCCACCCUCCCUCUUCAGAGAGCCCCCAGCCAGCAGCAGGCCCCUCUGCCUGCACCCCUCAGGCUUGCCCCUCGCUGCCUCAGUGAGGCACUAGUGCCACUGCCAUGGCCCAGCCGGGCCAUAGCUCAGGCUGCAGCAGGAAUGCCUCUCAGUGGCCAACAGUUGCUUUUCUCUCUGGUGUCACCCUGUGGCAACAGGCUGGAGCAGGGGAAGGAGAAAGCCUUCCUCUUCUCUCAUAGGAUAGAAAGGCAGGCUCAGAACUAAUGCUCAUGCUGAUCUCUAGGCCUUGUUCCUCUUCCAGGGAAGAAAAACCAAAUCCUUAUCAAGGAAAAAGCACCUAACAGUUCCCUUUGGAUAUCCCUGAGCUCUGCUGUGGGGAGUAUCAUAAAGGUUCUAGCCUUUGUGAAGUUGCUCUUGUGGAGGUCUGUUGGUCCCUCUGACCUCAGCAUCUGCUCACAUCCCACCCUCUGCCCAACUCUGGCAGUUUGUCCUGGCAGAUCUCCCCAGAGUGGUCCUUGCUUCUCACCUGUAUUCCUGCUUGUGCAGGAGCCUGUAUACGCAGGGCCUCCCUCACCCAGCCUGGCCCCUGUGCUGAGCAGUCUGCACCGCUCUUGAUGGGCAGCAGUGGGACUGAGAACUCCUUAGAGCCUUGCAGCUUUACACUGGAAUAAGUUUGCCUCUGCCUCACCCUGCUGGCUCCUGGUGGGUUUCAUCCCAGGCAGAGUUGACAUUGCUGGAGGGGUUUGGUGGACUCCUAAGAAUCAUGAAACCACAGGAGCAUGUUUAGGAAGAGAUUUUUCUCUGGUCCCUGUCUCUCAAAGGACACAGAUGAUAAAUAUUUAUUGUCUUAGAUCAUGGAUUCCUGAUACCUCUCACUCAAGGGGACCAAAAGGAACCCCCCCGUGUUCAUCCCUUGUAAGGUGAGUUCAGUGUACGUUGUCUCUUUCCGGUCACUGGAUGCGUGGCACCAACUGGUCAACGGGUGCUUGGUGCAAUACCCUGCUCACCCCAGUCUCUGCAGCCCAUGUCCUGAAGGGUUCCUCAGGAGGUCAGGACUAGGGUGGGAGAGGCACUAUCUGAGACCUGCAAUCACUCUUGUUGGUCUUGAGCCCAUUCAUUUCCGAAACAUCCAUCUUUCUCCACUUCCUGCAGGUCUUGGUUUUGAGAAACAGCAGGCAUGGCUGGGUGCGGUGGCUUACACCUGUAAUCCCAGCACUUUGGGAGGCUGAGGCAGGUGGGUCACCUGAGGUCAGGAGUUCAAGACCAGCCUGGUCAACAUGGCAAAAGCCCAUCUCUACUAAAAGAAACAAAAAUUAGCCGGGCGUGGUUGUGGCCUGUAAUCCCAGCUACCCGGGAGGCUGAGGCAGGAGACUCACUUGAACCCAGGAGGUGGAGGUUGUGGUGAGCUGAGAUCGUGCCAUUGCACUCCUGCCUAGGCGACAGAGCGAGACUCCAUCUCAAAAAAAAAAAAAAAAGAGAAACAUAGUAGGCCUUUUGUACCAGGCUUUUUGUGUUUUGUUUGUUUGUUUGUUUGGAGCAUGUUAAGAUUUUUUUAAGAUUUUUAAAAUUUUAGUUAUAUCCACCCUAUUUCAGGUUCUUUUUGUUGGUGUCAAGUAUGUAUAGGACAUGUGAAUGGUUCUUUUUAAUUUUUUUCUUAAGAGGAAAUUCGGAAGAUAAACUCCUUGAUAUAUAUAUAUAUAUUUUUUUUUUCUUUAGCAGCUUAUCAUCACUGGAAUCAAAGGGAAAAAGUGAUCUCUUUUUGCAUUGGUUGUAUUUGUAUGUCACAAAUAAAAGACACUUUGUUCA